rnacentral:rRNA from 1 species
CCCUUAGAUGUUCUGGGCUGCACGCGUGCUACAAUGGCGCUUGCAACAAGUCUUGCCAACCCGAUAGGGUGAGCGGAUCUUUGAAGAGGCGUCGUGAUCGGGACAGUUGAUUGCAAUUAUUCGACUCGAACGAGGAAUUCCUUGUAAUCGCGAUUCAUCAUAUCGCGCUGAAUACGUCCCUGCCCUUUGUACACACCGCCCGUCGCUCCUACCGAUUGGGUGUGCUGGUGAAAUGUUCGGAUCGGCCGUUUGUCGCGGUUUCCGCGGCUCGUGGCUGAGAAGUUCAUUAAACCCUCCCACCUAGAGGAAGGAGAAGUCGUAACA